UAUAGUUAACUUAAUCACCCUGCAGCCCAAGACUGGUUGCCCACUGAAGCUAAGCAGGGUUGAGGCUGGUCAGUACCUGGAUGGGAGACCUCCUGGGAAAACUGGGUUGCUGCUGGAA
rnacentral:rRNA from 1 species